rnacentral:rRNA from 1 species
UACGUAGGGUGCAAGCGUUAAUCGGAAUUACUGGGCGUAAAGCGUGCGCAGGCGGUUCGCUAAGACAGAUGUGAAAUCCCCGGGCUUAACCUGGGAACUGCAUUUGUGAUUGGCGGGCUAGAGUAUGGCAGAGGGGGGUAGAAUUCCACGUGUAGCAGUGAAAUGCGUAGAGAUGUGGAGGAACACCGAUGGCGAAGGCAGCCCCCUGGGUCAAGACUGACGCUCAUGCACGAAAGCGUGGGGAGCAAACAGG